GUCGGGAUAGCUCAGUUGGUAGAGCAGAG
rnacentral:ncRNA from 50 species